rnacentral:tRNA from 1 species
GGGCGAUUAGCUCAGCUGGAAGAGCAUCCGCCUUACAAGCGGAGGGUCGGCGGUUCGAGCCCGUCAUCGCCCACCA